AGUGCAAUUUCUGGAUCAUAUGGUAAAAGUACUUUUCAUUUUGUAAUAAACUGCCAAACUGUUUUCCAAAGUGGUUGUGCCAUUUUCUAUUCCCACCAGCAAU
rnacentral:pre_miRNA from 1 species